rnacentral:tRNA from 1 species
AUAGAUGAAGCAAUUUUGCAUUUAGUUUCGACCUAAUUUUUAGUUUUAUAAAAACUCUUCUAUU